AAUAUAAGGAAUUUGAUGUAUAGCAGUUACUUUUUACUUUUACUGAAAUAUAACAAUUGAGUACUUUUUUCCCGACACUAACCAUUGGGUGUGAGUGAAAUAAUACGGUGAAGACAAGGUUAUUCAGGAAAAUAGUACAUAGUGCUGCCUAAAACAUACUGCCACGCUUGGUACAAAAUGUUUUUUUGAGUCAUUUAUAUUAAUUUAGGAAAUUCUACUGUAGGUUAAGUGCACUUACGUUGUGUAAUUUAAAGUAUGUGUGUCUAAUGUGAAUUCAGUUUUUGUUUUCAAUGUUUAGCUACCUGAUCUGUUGAAAUGAGAUAAUUUAACAAGAAAAAUGUAAUAUAUAUUUUAGAGAAUAAAGAAUGCGCAGAACUGUCAAGAAAAUAACUUUAGUGUCCGUUUCUCUUUAUUACACUGGCCGACUCAGAUUAAGUCUGAGGGCGGUAACAUCAACAGUGAGGACAAACCCAGCCUGCCUCUCUCCUUCCACACUGAGUAGAAACCUACAGUCACUGGGUCCUGAUUGUAAAGUGGAGCCCAGUUUGAACUGCAGGAUCCAGAGAUGGCAUCAGUGAAGCUGGAAGACUGCAGUCAAACACUGGAGCUGAAUGUCAACAUUAAGAUGAAGAAGAGGAGGAGAAGAUUGGGACAACUGUUAUUCAUGGAGACCGUGUUGAGACAUUCUCUACAUCCAGAGAACAACAGCAGGAAGAUCACAGAGCUAAGAGGGUCUCACCUCUGCCCACAUUGUGGGGAGAUUUUCCAAAUUCUAUCAAAACUAGAAAUGCACCUAAAAAUACACACAGGAGAGAGUCUGUAUUCCUGUACUGACUGUGGAAAAAGCUUCAAAACAUCAAGGUCUCUGACAGUUCAUCAGAGAACACACACAGGAAAGACGCCUUACUCCUGCUCCGAAUGUUGGAAAAAGUUUCUCUCAACAGAGCAAUUUAAAAACACAUCAACGUAUACAUAAAGGAGAGAAGCCUUACUCCUGCUCUGCAUGUGGGUCAGUUUCUCCGGAUUGGAUACCUUAAAAACACACAAACGUAUACAUACAGGAGAGAAGCCAUAUUCCUGCUCUGACUGUGGGAAGACAUUUCUCAACUGGUCCAUUUAAAUGCACACCAACGUAUACAUACAGGAGAGAAGCCUUACUUCUGCUCUGACUGUGGAAAGAGUUUCUCUCAACAGAGCAGCUUAAAAUCACACCAGCGUACACAUACAGGAGAGAAGCCGUACUCCUGCUCUUACUGUGGGAAGUGCUUCACAACAUCAUCUGCAAUAAACGUUCAUCAGAGAACACACACAGGAGAGAAGCCUUACUUCUGCUCUGACUGUGGAAGGACUUUUUCCCGAUUGAAUACCUUAAACUGUCACAAGCUAAUACAUACAGGACAGAAGUCUUACUUCUGCUCUGACUGUGGGAAGAAUUUCUCUCUACAGAGCAGCUUAAAAUCACACCAACCUAUACAUACAGGAGAGAAGCCUUACUCCUGCUCUGACUGUGGAAAGAGUUUCUCUCGACAGGGCAGCUUAAAAUCACACCAACGGAUACACACAAGAGAGAAGCCUUUUUCAGAAUAAAACUGUACAUUUUGGGUGGAUUGACAAUGGACCCCUGCUUAAAGUAUCCUCCUUUUUAAAUGAAGUCUUACAGAGUUGCCUACAAUGUCAUCCUCCAGAUAAGGCAGAUCUAAUAUUACAGCAAAUAAUAUGGCUCAACUCCAAUGUACUGAUAGAUUUAAAAAAAUACUUUUAUUGUAAAAAAUGUGUAUAAUAUCUAUGAAGGACAUUGUAAACAAGAAAGGUCAAAUGAUGUCACAUAACUAACAACAGCGUAUGGAGGUGUGUACUCAAUACAAGAUUAUAACCAACUCAUUGUGGCUCUGCCACAAAAUUGGAAGAGGCAAUUACUUAAGAAAUUAAACACUUUGUCUAGUUUUCUCCCAUUAAAAAUCAGAAAUGGCUUAAAAUUA